CCUACGGGUGGCAGCAGUGAGGAAUAUUGGUCAAUGGACGCGAGUCUGAACCAGCCAAGUAGCGUGAAGGAUGACUGCCCUAUGGGUUGUAAACUUCUUUUAUAUGGGAAUAAAAUGUUCCACGUGUGGGAUUUUGUAUGUACCAUAUGAAUAAGGAUCGGCUAACUACGUGCCAGCAGCCGAGGUAAUACGGAGGAUGCGAGCGUUAUCCGGAAUUAUUGGGGGUAAAGGGAGCGUAGGUGGUGUGUUAAGUCAGUUGUGAAAGUCUGCGGCUCAACCGUAGAAUGGCAGUUGAAACUGGAAGUCUUGAGUGCAGGAGAGGAGAGUGGAAUUCGAGGUGUAGCGGUGAAAUGCGUAGAUAUAUCGAGGAACACCAGUGGCGAAGGCGACUCACUGGACUGCAACUGACGCUGAGGCUCGAAAGCGUGGGUAUCAAACAGGAUUAGAUACCCCGGUAGUC
rnacentral:rRNA from 1 species